UACAGAGGGUGCGAGCGUUAAUCGGAAUUACUGGGCGUAAAGCGCGCGUAGGCGGCUUUUCAAGUCGAUUGUGAAAUCCCCGGGCUUAACCCUGGGAACUGCAGUCGAGACUGUCUAGCUAGAGUAUGGGAGAGGGAAGUGGAAUUUCAGGUGUAGCGGUGAAAUGCGUAGAUAUCUGAAGGAACAUCAGUGGCGAAAGCGACUUCCUGGACCAAUCUGACGCU
rnacentral:rRNA from 1 species